rnacentral:sRNA from 1 species
AGCAGCCGCGGUAAUUCCAGCUCCAAUAGCGUAUAUUAAAGUUGUUGCAGUUAAAAAGCUCGUAGUUGAAUUUCGGGAUCAAUUGAUUGGUCAUGCCUACGGUAUGUACUAGUCAUAUUGGUUCUCACCUUCUAAUGAACCUUAAUGUCAUUCACUUGAUGUUUUGGGGAAUUAGGACUGUUACCUUGAAAAAAUUAGAGUGUUUAAAGCAGGCUUACGCUUGAAUACAUUAGCAUGGAAUAAUGAAAUAGGACAUCGCAUUCUAUUUUGUUGGUUUCUAGGAUCGAUGUAAUGAUUAAUAGGGAUAGUUGGGGGCAUUAGUAUUCAAUUGUCAGAGGUGAAAUUCUUGGAUUUAUUGAAGACUAACUACUGCGAAAGCAUUUGCCAAGGAUGUUUUCAUUAAUCAAGAACGAAAGUUAGGGGAUCGAAGACGAUCAGAUACCGUCGUAGUCUUAACCAUAAACUAUGCCGACUAGGGAUCGGAUGAUGUUAAUUUUAAAUGA